AGACAGUAUGUCCUUUGAGACCACCACCGAAAUUGCUUCGCAUGUUCCUGUUCGAGCUACUAUUUUUAUAUAGCAUAGUCCUGAAGUUCGCAUUUACACAGAAGUUCGAAAACCAGAGUUGCAGAGUACUGCUACUGAUUGUAAAUUCUGGAGUAAUGAGCUACUGUUGGUUGUAUCUCGGAGCUGAGAAGGACCAACUACACGGGCAUGUAAUGAAGGAGUAUCAUCAGUUUCAAAAUAUAUGACCUGUUUUUCACCUACAUGUCUGUCAAUCUCAGGUACAUUCAUGAUUUUCUGGAGACGUGCAAUUUCAAUCUCUAUCUGGAUUAAAGUCGAUCCCACAAAAUAUUUGGAUAACAUCGUAAGAAUGGUCUUUAAAACCUGAAAUCCAAGUGACAUUAAAUGCAAAGAUUAAGACCAAUCAGGGGUCCUAAAUCAUGAGACAAUUAUUAAUUACAAUUUCAUUUUUUCUGAUAGUGACUAAAUAACUACUUUCUAGUAUGGUUUAGACUAGUCAAAUCCCUCAACAUUAAUUAUUUGUCACUUAAUUUCUAAUAAAGCUAGUGGAAGUUAGACAGUUGUCUUUAAAAA